GUCCAUGCUGCGAAAUGGGUACCGCAUUGGACUCCCAAGCCAAAAGUCGUGGGCUCGAAUCCCACCUGGGAUG